GAAGUAUAUUGAUCAUGGCCACGGGGGUUUUUCUUUUCUUUUCUUUUUGAUUUUUGUCCGAUGGGCCUAUGCCAUAGGGGAAGCCUAUCCAAAUUUCUGAAUCUGUUUCCAAUAUCUUUGAGGACUCAAACUUGAGACCUGGUAGUGGAAAUCCUAAGUUUUAACUACAGGGGAUCCUUUAAGUUGUGUUUGGUUAGUUUCACACAACAAAAAGAACAAAUACGAAAGGGAUAAAAAUGUUGGUUUGGAGGCACGGAGAUAGUCAAAUAAAUUUGUUGUUGUGAUAGUCAAAUAAUUGAAGAAAUAAUCAAACACGAAUUACAUGAGACCUUUUCAUUCUACCCCAUACGACAAUAAUUGAAGACCAUUGCUUAUGAAAUGGCGGGGGGUUUUUCUUUUCUUUUCUUUUUGAUUUUUGUCCGAUGGGCCUAUGCCAUUGGGGAAGCCUAUCCAAAUUUCUGAAUCCGUUUCCAAUAUCUUUGAGGACUCAAACUCGAGACCUGGUAGUGGAAAUCCUAAGUUUUAACUACAGGGGAUCCUUUAAGUUGUGUUUGGUUAGUUUCACACAACAAAAAGAAUAAAUACGAAAGGGAUAAAUAUGUUGGUUUGGAGGCAUGGAGAUAGUCAAAUAAAUUUGUUGUUGUGAUAGUCAAAUAAUUGAAGAAAUAAUCAAACACCAAUUACAUGAUAC
rnacentral:lncRNA from 1 species